rnacentral:ncRNA from 1 species
UCUCAUCUGGUAAAGCGAAUGAUUAGAAGCCUUGAGGCCGAAACAACAUCAAGCUAUUCUCAAACUUUAAAUGGAUGAGAUAUCUUGGUUUGCUUGGAUCAUAAAGCCACGAGAU